AACGCACAUUGCGCCCCUUGGCACUCCGGGGGGCAUGCCCGUUCGAGCGUCAUUACAGCCCUCGAGCAUGGCUUGAUGCUGGGCCCUGCCGCGGCUUGUUUGUGGCUGGCCUUAAAAUCAGUGGCGGUGCGGUCUGGCCCUGAGCGUAGUAACCAUCCUCGCUAUAUGUCGCCGGCGUAACACCUGCCAGCAACCCCCAGAUUUUUUUCUAUGGAUAACCUCGGAUCGGGUAGGGGUACCCGCUGAACUUAA
rnacentral:misc_RNA from 1 species